CCUAUGGGAAGAGCUGAGAUUGUAGUUCUUCUUACUGGACUUUAAACAAAACUUCUUCCCACUCGCUAGCUCUCUCUCUCGAUGUUGUGAGAAAACUGAUAUGUGUUGGAGUUGUGAAACUGAUUAGAAGGUAUAUGUGUAUAUGUAUUGGAGUUUGUUGGGAUUUUGGCAGAGAUCAAAUCUGAAACUCUUUGGCUCUUUGUUAGCUAUUUUUAGUGGUUUAUGGAGUAUGUACUUGUGAGAAAAUAAAUGGGAUUGUCCCUCUUCGGUUAUGUUGCUGCAGAAACUCAUUUUUGUUGGUCCUUCACUGCUCCAUCCAUUAAAAAAAAUUUGUCACUUAGUGAGCACUUGGGUUUUGACUCAUAGUUAUUCUUGUUUUUUUUUUUUUUUUUUUUUGUGGUAGGAAGAGUGCAGCUGCCAUUCCUAUUUAGGCAAGUUGUUGGACAUCUUUUGACAUCUCAAAACCCUCCCUUGUUUUGUAAUCAAAGUCUGCUUAUAUAAUGGGCUGGGGUGGUGACGAAUUAUUUGUGAGGGGCUGGCUGCCCUUGGGUCUAACAGGCCAAGUGUGAGUGGGCCGAAGCAGUGGGCACUCCUUUUGGGUUGAGAGGAAGAAGUCCAAAAGCAUAUUUGUAACUUAAACGAUUGUACUCCAUAAGUUUACAUAUAUGUAGCAACUUAUGAGUAAUACAUUGGUUCUAUUUGUUCAUAAAGUAGUUCGUUGCUCCUUAA